CGAACGGGUGAGUAAUGCGUGACCAACCUGCCCCAUGCUCCAGAAUAGCUCUUGGAAACGGGUGGUAAUGCUGGAUGCUCCAACUUGACGCAUGUCUUGUUGGGAAAGUGUUUAGUGGCAUGGGAUGGGGUCGCGUCCUAUCAGCUUGUAGGCGGGGUAAUGGCCCACCUAGGCUUCGACCGGGUAGCCGGCCUGAGAGGGCGGACGGCCACAUUGGGACUGAGAUACGGCCCAGACUCCUACGGGAGGCAGCAGCC
rnacentral:rRNA from 1 species